rnacentral:rRNA from 1 species
UACGUAGGGCGCGAGCGUUGUCCGGAAUUAUUGGGCGUAAAGAGCUCGUAGGUGGCUUGUUGCGUCUGCCGUGAAAGCCCGUGGCUUAACUACGGGUCUGCGGUGGAUACGGGCAGGCUAGAGGCUGGUAGGGGCAAGCGGAAUUCCUGGUGUAGCGGUGAAAUGCGCAGAUAUCAGGAGGAACACCGGUGGCGAAGGCGGGUCUCUGGGCCGAUACUGACGCUGAGGAGCGAAAGCGUGGGGAGCAAACAGG